UGGUCCAAACACUACCUGCCAGCCAGAC
rnacentral:piRNA from 1 species